rnacentral:rRNA from 1 species
UACAGAGGUCUCAAGCGUUGUUCGGAUUCAUUGGGCGUAAAGGGUGUGUAGGUGGCGCGCUAAGUCGGGUGUGAAAUUUCGGAGCUUAACUCCGAAACUGCAUUCGAUACUGGCGUGCUUGAGGACUGGAGAGGAGACUGGAAUUCAUGGUGUAGCAGUGAAAUGCGUAGAGAUCAUGAGGAACACCAGAGGCGAAGGCGGCUACCUGGACAAUUGCUGACGCUCAGGCACGAAAGCGUGGGGAGCAAAAGGG